AGUUGAGAAGCAAUGCUGUUUCACCUCCCUGAGAGAAUUGCCUUGUUUGUGAAAUACUACAGAAAAACCUGUAUUUUCUCCAGAAAAUGAAAGGUCUUGGCCUGAGUAAAUCAAGGCAGAAAACUCACCCCCGUGAAAGCUGCAGCUCUGAGAGUGUGUGGGCAGGGCUUCAACAGAAUACCUGUGGCUGCACUUACAAAAGGCAGCCAGAAGGACCCGUCCAUUCUGGAAAGUACCUUUAGUCUGAAAGCAUUUAUUGCAGAAAAAAUAUGAGGCUUGCUGGUAGUAUUCCCAGGUGACAAAUGUGCACCCAACACCCUACAGAAAAGAAGAACCAUAAAAUAAUUAAUUAUUCCAUUGUAACUCCUGCCUGGAAAACAUCUGGAUGCUUGGAUGUUUUCACACCACUCUGACACAUGGAUGGAAGGUUAGAAGACAACAAAGGAAUGGGCUGGGAAGGACUCCAAAAGCAGAAUCAGAGAUUAUAUCAUUCCUUGGAAAUGGAGAAAAGGAUCAAAAAAGCUGAAUAAAAGGCAAACAUGGAGGAACAGAGUUUGGAGCAAUACCCUGACUUACAUUCAGUACUGUUAAUGGCUCCAGCAUCUUGAAACAAACCAAUUUUGGAUUUUCAGCCGCUGUCCAAGAUGACGUGAACUCCAGGCUAUUGACUUUCCUCUACCUUCAAUGGAAAUUGUCAUGGAGAAUUAAGUUUUUGACAAAUCUACAGCCUAUGUGCAGGGCUUCUUCCUGGGUGUAACAAUAAGGAAUUUGGAAACUGUCUCUAGUUUUGGCCUGGAGUCACACUGCAGCUUGAGACCCUGUCAUUUCCAUCAAGCUUGAAAAUAUACAUCUUAAUAAACUGCAAUACUUCUUAAA
rnacentral:lncRNA from 1 species